rnacentral:rRNA from 1 species
UUAGAGUUUGAUCCUGGCUCAGGAUGAACGCUAGCGGCAGGCUUAACACAUGCAAGUCGAGGGGCAGCAUGUCCAGCAAUGGAUGAUGGCGACCGGCGGAAGGGUGCGUAACGCGUGAGCAACAUGCCCUAUACAGGGAGAUACACCAGGGAAACUUGGUCUAAUAUCCCAUAGCAUUCAUUGAAGGCAUCUUUAAUGAAUUAAAGCUUCGGUGGCAUAGGAUUGGCUCGCGUGACAUUAGCCAGAUGGUGAGGUAACGGCUCACCAUAGCAAUGAUGUCUAGGGGUUUUGAGAGGAAGGCCCCCCACACUGGGACUGAGACACGGCCCAGACUCCUACGGGAGGCAGCAGUGAGGAAUAUUGGACAAUGGAUGGAAAUCUGAUCCAGCCAUGCCGCGUGCAGGAAGACGGCCUUAUGGGUUGUAAACUGCUUUUAUACGGGAGCAAUAAGGGUUACGAGUAAUCCGAUGAGAGUACUGUAUGAAUAAGGAUCGGCUAACUCCGUGCCAGCAGCCGCGGUAAUACGGAGGAUCCGAGCGUUAUCCGGAAUUAUUGGGUUUAAAGGGUGCGUAGGCGGCCAUUUAAGUCAGCGGUGAAAUUUUGCAGCUUAACUGUAACAGUGCCGUUGAUACUGUUUGGCUAGGAUUUGGUUGUAGUGUGCGGAAUGUGUGGUGUAGCGGUGAAAUGCUUAGAUAUCACACAGAACACCGAUUGCGAAGGCAGCACACUAAGUCAUUAUUGACGCUGAGGCACGAAAGUGUGGGGAUCAAACAGGAUUAGAUACCCUGGUAGUCCACACUGU